rnacentral:rRNA from 1 species
AUUGAACGCUGGCGGCAGGCCUAACACAUGCAAGUCGAGCGGAUGAAGGGAGCUUGCUCCUGGAUUCAGCGGCGGACGGGUGAGUAAUGCCUAGGAAUCUGCCUGGUAGUGCGGGAUAACGUCUGGAAACGGGCGCUAAUACCGCCUACGUCCUGAGGGAGAAAGAGGGGGAUCUUCGGACCUCACGCUAUCAGAUGAGCCUAGGUCGGAUUGGCUAGUUGGUGGGGUAAAGGCCUACCAAGGCGACGAUCCGUAAGUGGUCUGAGAGGAUGGUCGGUCACCUUAGAACUGGGACAGGGACCAGACGCCUGAGAGAGGCAGCAGUGGGGAAUGUUGGGCAGUAGGCGGAAGCCUGAUCCAGCCAUGCCGCGUGUGAGAAGAAGGUCUUCGGUUUGUAAAGCACUUUAAGUUGGGAGGAAGGGCAGUAGGUUGAUACCUUGCUGUUUUGACGUUACCAACAGAAGAAGCACCGGCUAACUUCGUG